rnacentral:lncRNA from 1 species
GGACGGGGAGCAGAAUCUGGCACUCGGCAACCUUCGGCGGUUUCCGUGCAGGCCUGGCCGCCAUUUUCUCGCAGCCUUCGUGCGCUCGGUGUUUGCGCGGCUCUCCGUCCUGCCUGCCCGCGCUUUGUCCUGCUCGGCGAUGGACGGCAUUGUCACUGAUGUUGCAGUUGGUGUGAAGAGAGGAUCUGACGAACUUCUUUCAGGCAGUGUACUCAAUAGCCCGAACUCUAACAUGAGCAGCAUGGUAGUUACUGGUAAGUGAUGCCAUUUCAAAGGAGAAAUCUAUCAUUUAUUCUUGGACUCAUUUCCUGUUUACAAGGGGAAAAU